GGAAAAUGAAGUGAUUCAGCCCUGAGCAUACAGAGGGUUGGUCUCAGGACCUUUUCAGUCUUGAUUUGCUAAAUGAACAGAUUUCUCACUAUCAGAGACCUGCACCAGAUAAUGAUCCUGAGGCUGACACCUUGCUGUUACACUGGUGUUAAUGUGCUGGUGUUAACUGGUUGUGGCUGCCAGUCCCCCACAUGGGAAGGAGCACAGACACCUUUGGAAACCACAUCCCAAGCCUCUGGCCUUUGGUGGAGCAGCUGUUGAGACUACAGUAUCUCAACCCCAGAUAAGAUUGUCGCGUCCAAGACAGACACAAUGGGGGAACUGCAAGGGAAAACGACUUCUGAUCAGCAGCAGGCUUCUCCAUCACCAUAGGACCUUACAACCACAAAUAGCCAAGUGCAUGCCUAAAGCUGAGCAAUGGGAAGGACGGACUCAGAACAGCUGUAGAGAUUCACAGGGAAG
rnacentral:lncRNA from 1 species